rnacentral:rRNA from 1 species
UACGAAGGGGGCUAGCGUUGUUCGGAUUUACUGGGCGUAAAGCGCACGUAGGCGGUUUGUUAAGUCAGGGGUGAAAUCCCGGAGCUCAACUCCGGAACUGCCUUUGAUACUGGCAAGCUAGAGUCCGGAAGAGGUAAGUGGAACUCCUAGUGUAGAGGUGGAAUUCGUAGAUAUUAGGAAGAACACCAGUGGCGAAGGCGGCUUACUGGUCCGGAACUGACGCUGAGGUGCGAAAGCGUGGGGAGCAAACAGGAUUAGAAACCCUCGUAGUCC